rnacentral:rRNA from 1 species
UACGUGGGGUGCGAGCGUUACUCGGAAUUACUGGGCGUAAAGCGUGCGCAGGCGGUUCGCUGGGUCUGCGGUGAAAGCCCCGGGCUCAACCUGGGAAUGGCCGUGGAAACUGGCGAGCUGGAGUGUGGCAGAGGGGGGUGGAAUUCCACGUGUAGCAGUGAAAUGCGUAGAGAUGUGGAGGAACACCGAUGGCGAAGGCAGCCCCCUGGGCUGACACUGACGCGCAGGCACGAAAGCGUGGGGAGCAAACAGG